rnacentral:rRNA from 1 species
GCGGAAGGGAUAAGUGCUGAAAGCAUCUAAGCAUGAAGCCCCCCUCAAGAUGAGAUUUCCCAUAGCGUAAGCUAGUAAGAUCCCUGAAAGAUGAUCAGGUUGAUAGGUUCGAGGUGGAAGCAUGGUGACAUGUGGAGCUGACGAAUACUAAUAGAUCGAGGACUUAACCAUAUAA